rnacentral:lncRNA from 1 species
AAAGCCAUGAAGUCACCCCAAGUUCAAACCCAAAAUGCAAUUUGCAGUGGUUAGAAAUGACAAAGGAUGGGUGGUAGGAUCCAGAGAAAAAACAGUGAAACCCGAUGGACCUUAAAUAGAUCUGAGGGCACUGAUUUGAUUAUUUUGGGUGAAAUCUUUUAAGAAAAUCUUGUCAGAUUCUUCACAGAAAAUUUGGUAAAGCCUAUAUUUCAUCGCCAGCCUAGCAAAGGCAAGCUGGCAAACAGGGAAACAAGGAGAACUGUGUGCUCAGCCCUCCAGAGUGGCACGGAUUAUGAGGAGGUGAUGGUCCUUCCCCGCCAAGAUCCUGAGACACUGUCACUCCGGAAUCCAAAAAGAGAUUCAGAUACCAUGAAAGGAUUUGAGCGUUUUUUUAUGUGAAUCCAAAGAUGACAUUUACAAAAGGUGGAGAAGCAGUUCCCUACUGAGGGACGUGGAUACAAAAAGCAGAUGACACAACACAUCCCAUAGAGUUCCCAGGGAAGAAUGAACCCAGAUUCUUGACCUGCAGAGGUGGCGUACUGGCUGGAGAAAUCUCUGGCUGGCGACCGUGCUAUUCUGUCUGUCCACCUAACUGUGGGCUCCCAGAUCACCACUGCCAUGGGCAGGGGGCCGUGGGGUGGGCCUGCUUGGGGUGACAGGCUAGCUGUGCUCCCAUAGCAGAGGUGGGAGAAGGGAAUCACAUCUGGUGAGCAGCUAUGUCGUGCCAGGCACUGUGCUGUGUAUUGCACACAUCUCAAACCUUGUGACAAAUGUGUAAGAUAUUUUUUAUGUAUUACAAAUGAAGGAACUGGGCUCAGAAAAGCUCCAUUAUUUGCCCAAAUUGCAGCAGUAAUGCAGGAAUUUGAAUCCACAUUAAUCUGACUCCACAACCCAUGUUCUUUCACUGAAUUCCCAUAUCCUUGUUCCCCCUACUGUCCUCACUGGUCAAGGUGAGCUUGGUCUUCCACAAACAGGCUAGAAAAGUAUGCUUACUUAUCUUUAGCUUUAUGCUUUUAAACUAAUUCUUAAAAAUCUUCUCUGGAUAAGUCAAAGACAAUGGGAAUGUGUAUUUCUAAUACAUUAAUUAUAAUACAUUACCGGUUUACACAAUGCCAAAAAAAAA